rnacentral:tRNA from 1 species
GGGGAUAUAACUCAGUUGGUAGAGUGCUUGCCUUGCAUGCAAAAGGCCCUGGGUUCAAUCCCCAGCACCA